rnacentral:rRNA from 1 species
CAGUCGCCGCGGUAAUACGAAGGGUGCAAGCGUUACUCGGAAUUACUGGGCGUAGAGCGUGCGUAGGCGGUUGGUUAAGUCUGCUGUGAAAGCCCUGGGCUCAACCUGGGAACUGCAGUGGAAACUGGCCAGCUAGAGUGUGUCAGAGGAUGGUGGAAUUCCCGGUGUAGCGGUGAAAUGCGUAGAGAUCGGGAGGAACACCAGUGGCGAAGGCGGCCAUCUGGGACAACACUGACGCUGAGGCACGAAAGCGUGGGGAGCGAACAGGAUUAGAUACCCGAGUAGUCCCUGUCUCUUAUAC